AACGAACGCUGGCGGCAUGCCUAACACAUGCAAGUCGAACGAGACCUUCGGGUCUAGUGGCGCACGGGUGCGUAACGCGUGGGAACCUGCCCUUAGGUUCGGAAUAACUCCCCGAAAGGGGUGCUAAUACCGGAUAAUGUCUUCGGACCAAAGAUUUAUCGCCUUUGGAUGGGCCCGCGUUGGAUUAGCUAGUUGGUAGGGUAAAAGCCUACCAAGGCGACGAUCCAUAGCUGGUCUGAGAGGAUGAUCAGCCACACUGGGACUGAGACACGGCCCAGACUGAGAGGGGAGGGAGAGGGGGGAAAUAUGGGACAGGGGGGAAAAGCGGGAUCCAGCGGUGACGAGGGGGGAGGGAAGGCCGUAGGUUGCAAAAGCUCGUCUACUGGGGAAGAUAACGACGAGAGCGGGACAAUCAGCUCAGCCGAACGCCGCGCCGGCAGCCGCAAUAAUACGCGGAAGAGCACACGUCGGCAC
rnacentral:rRNA from 1 species